rnacentral:rRNA from 1 species
AGGACUAACGCUGGCGGCGUGCCUAACACAUGCAAGUCGAACGGGGUAGCAAUACCCAGUGGCAGACGGGUGAGUAACACGUGGUCAACCUACCUCUGUGUGGGGGAUAACUAGCCGAAAGGUUAGCUAAUACCGCAUACGAUCGUUUUGAGGCAUCUCGAGACGAUGAAAGGAGCAAUCCGCACGGAGAGGGGACUGCGUCCCAUUAGUUAGUGGUGGGGUAACGGCCUACCAAGACUCCGAUGGGUAGCUGGCUUGAGAGAGCGACCAGCCACACUGGAACUGAGAAACGGUCCAGACUCCUACGGGAGGCAGCAGUGAGGAAUUUUCCGCAAUGGGCGAAAGCCUGACGGAGCGACGCCGCGUGUGGGAUGAAGGCCUUCGGGUCGUAAACCACUGUCGAAGGGGACGAUAAUGACGGUACCCUUGGAGGAAGCCCCGGCUAACUACGUGCCAGCAGCCGC